UGACAAGAAAUAACAAUACAGGACUUUUUGGUUUUGUAAUUGGAAUGAGUUAAGUAUAAACCCCUUUACAAGUAUCAAUUGGAGGGCAAGUCUGGUGCCAGCAGCCGCGGUAAUUCCAGCUCCAAUAGCGUAUAUUAAAGUUGUUGCAGUUAAAAAGCUCGUAGUUGGAUUUCUGUUAAUAAUUUAUAUAAAAUAUUUUGAUGAAUAUUUAUAUAAUAUUAACAUAAUUCAUAUUACUAUAUAUUUUAGUAUAUGAAAUUUUACUUUGAGAAAAUUAGAGUGCUUAAAGCAGGCAUAUGCCUUGAAUACUCCAGCAUGGAAUAAUAUUAAAGAUUUUUAUCUUUCUUAUUGGUUCUAAGAUAAGAAUAAUGAUUAAUAGGGACAGUUGGGGGCAUUUGUAUUUAACAGUCAGAGGUGAAAUUCUUAGAUUUGUUAAAGACAAACUAAUGCGAAAGCAUUUGCCAAGGAUGUUUUCAUUAAUCAAGAACGAAAGUUAGGGGAUCGAAGACGAUCAGAUACCGUCGUAGUCUAA
rnacentral:rRNA from 1 species